rnacentral:rRNA from 1 species
GACGAACGCUGGCGGCGUGCUUAACACAUGCAAGUCGAACGGUGAACCUCUUCGGAGGGGAUCAGUGGCGAACGGGUGAGUAACACGUGGGCAACCUGCCCCCGGCUCUGGGAUAACUCCAAGAAAUUGGGGCUAAUACCGGAUGUUCACCGCUUCCCGCAUGGGUGGUGGUGAAAAGGGUUUCCGGCUGGGGAUGGGCCCGCGGCCUAUCAGCUUGUUGGUGGGGUAGUGGCCUACCAAGGCGACGACGGGUAGCCGGCCGGAGGGGGUGACCGGCCACCGGGGGACGGAGACAGCGCCCGCACGCCGCGGGGGGGAAGGGGGGGGGAAUUUGGCGGAAGGGGGGGAGGCCUGACGCAGCGACCCCGGGGGGGGGAUGACGGCGUUGGGGUUGUAAACCUCUUGCAGCGGGGACGAAGCGAAAGUGAGGGUACCUGAAGAAAAACCCCCGCCAAACUACGUC